rnacentral:rRNA from 1 species
AUAAUGGGUCAGCGACUUAUAUUCUGUAGCAAGGUUAACCGAAUAGGGGAGCCGAAGGGAAACCGAGUCUUAACUGGGCGUUAAGUUGCAGGGUAUAGACCCGAAACCCGGUGAUCUAGCCAUGGGCAGGUUGAAGGUUGGGUAACACUAACUGGAGGACCGAACCGACUAAUGUUGAAAAAUUAGCGGAUGACUUGUGGCUGGGGGUGAAAGGCCAAUCAAACCGGGAGAUAGCUGGUUCUCCCCGAAAGCUAUUUAGGUAGCGCCUCGUGAAUUCAUCUCCGGGGGUAGAGCACUGUUUCGGCAAGGGGGUCAUCCCGACUUACCAACCCGAUGCAAACUGCGAAUACCGGAGAAUGUUAUCACGGGAGACACACGGCGGGUGCUAACGUCCGUCGUGAAGAGGGAAACAACCCAGACCGCCAGCUAAGGUCCCAAAGUCAUGGUUAAGUGGGAAACGAUGUGGGAAGGCCCAGACAGCCAGGAUGUUGGCUUAGAAGCAGCCAUCAUUUAAAGAAAGCGUAAUAGCUCACUGGUCGAGUCGGCCUGCGCGGAAGAUGUAACGGGGCUAAAC